rnacentral:rRNA from 1 species
CUACGGGGGGCAGCAGUGGGGAAUUUUGGACAAUGGGCGAAAGCCUGAUCCAGCCAUUCCGCGUGAGUGAUGAAGGCCUUCGGGUUGUAAAGCUCUUUCGGCCGGGAAGAAAUCGUGCAGGCUAAUAUCCUGCAUGGAUGACGGUACCGGAUCAAGAAGCACCGGCUAACUACGUGCCAGCAGCCGCGGUAAUACGUAGGGUGCGAGCGUUAAUCGGAAUUACUGGGCGUAAAGCGUGCGCAGGCGGAUGUUUAAGCCAGAUGUGAAAUCCCCGGGCUUAACCUGGGAAUGGCAUUUGGAACUGGACAUCUAGAGUGUGUAAGAGGGGGGUGGAAUUCCACGUGUAGCAGUGAAAUGCGUAGAGAUGUGGAGGAACACCGAUGGCGAAGGCAGCCCCCUGGGAUAACACUGACGCUCAUGCACGAAAGCGUGGGGAGCAAACAGGAUUAGAUACCCGCGUAGUC